rnacentral:lncRNA from 1 species
CUCUGAGAGAAUUCCAUUCAUAUUAGUGGGUGGGUAAGUCUAUAAAUGAACGGCCCCAUAAUCUCUUGCAUCAGUAUUGUAAGACGUGACAGACAAUUUCAUUCUCGCCUGGUGAACAAGCCAAAAUUCGAACGAAUGCACUGCAAAAUUUCUAUCUUCGGCCAUUUUUUCACUUUUUCUUGGACAAUUCUCGAAUUGACCGUUGUCGGCCGCAUGGCGAAUUGGCCGGCCAAAGCUCGAAAUAAUGGUAAAUUCUCGUAUAUUUCGGGCUAUGGCCAAAUCACUCGGCCGAAUCUAGAAUUGGCCAGCCACUUUGCGAAUUGGCUAGACAUCGGGCACUGGCAAC